ACUUUGCCCUCCCUGCCCACUCCCCUUUAUAAGCAGCCCCAGGAAAGGCAAGCUCCAAGUUUGCCCAACUGGGCAGAGGGAUCCUCCUCCCAUCAUCACUGCACUGCUACAAACCCCAGCCUGGAAGAUGCAUUGAGGAGGUAAAAGAGGUCCCCAAGAGCACUGCAAGUUGUUCCCAGGAACCACAGCCUGGAGAAGGUGAGAAGCUCAAUAAGAAUCAUCUGCAUUGCACAGACUUUACAAGGAGGCACACCAGGAGCAGAAGGCAAGACUUGAUUUAAACUUGACACUGGAGACCUCUCAGUGCCAUGUGAGAAGAAGGAGAGUUGCUGCUGUAAGGAAGAUGUUCUGAUGUUGGCCAAACAAGGCUGCCCAUGACCUGCAUCAGCCAAGCUUCUCCCCAUGCACCAGUGAUGUCUUUGAGACCAGUCUCAGCUGUCACUCCUCAUCUUGUCCUGCCAAAGCCUGUGAUCCUGCAGCCGUGGUGACUCCCUGAGGACAUGGCCACAUGCUUAGCACUCCUAAUCAUGCCUGAUGUUUUGGAUGUGUUGAUGGAGCAGAUGCACAGAUCCCUUCUCCUCCUGUGUGGCAGGCUGGCUCUGCCAGGGGCUGUACUGUGGUUUCAUGUGGACCAGGUGGUCUUGCUCUGUGCCUGUCAUGAUGCCACAGUCCCUUUGAGAUGCUGCAGUUGACACUGUGCACUUGCAACAGCUUUUUGUGCAGAAAAGGUGAAGAAUUGAGGUGGUCCUUUUGGUGUGAACAAAGCACAGCCUGUGCCUGCUGCUACUGAAUCUGCCAAUAUGCUACCCUCAGUCUGUUCUUAAACCUUGUUCAGUUCUCCUGCCACCCCCAAACCAUUCCAUUUCCCUCAGGAGCUCUUGCUGUACAAUCAUCCUCACCUCUGCAGGUCACAGAGUCAUAAAAUGGUUUGGAUUGGAAGGGACCCUAAAGAUCAUCUAAUCUCAAAUCCCCUGCCAUGGUCAGGGACACUUUCCACUAGACCAAAUUGUUCAAGAACUCAUCCAACCUGGCUUUGAAUACCUCCAGGGAGGGGACAUCCCCAUCACCAGAGUGCUUUGGCCAUUGCUCCACUGCUGCCCAAGUGCAAUUCACUGGGAGAGGUGAGCAGAGACUUGAGCUGCUGCUCACUCCAGCCUAGCUUGGAAAGUGAAGCUGGGUUUAGUACCCAAAAUGUUGCAGCACAGCCUGCUUCAGUGCCCAUGGGUUUGGGAGAAAGGAGGAGACUGCAGUGGGAGCUCCAAACAGCCAGUGUGGGCAUUGCUGUGAUCUGGCAAUAUGAUGCUCCUGACCCAGCAAUGCCCAGGGCUGAAAAUAUUUCCACCUUCAUGAUUGUUUUAGCAGUGAACUGGGGAAGGAAAAGGCACUGGAGAGGGUUCAGGCCACCUGUGUGAACCCAGCCUGUCCUUAGCACAGACUGCAAUCCAGCCCUGCCAUUCCCCUCUGUGCUGUGCAGCCUGGGAUGCAGACUGCAGCUGUGUUGUACAUUUAUGCACUAGACCUUGAAGAUGUUUGACUUUGUUUUCCUUGCCUUGCCACAAGCAAACUCACUGAUGUGAAAAGGAAUAAAUUAGCAUCUCUGAA